AUGAAGAACCCGGAAAUACGCCAUCUUAGUCCCUUUUGUUCUUUGUUUCCUUCCUCCCUCCGUCGAGACAGUUGAGACUUCUUUCCACUAAAUAGGAAGAACAAAGUGUGUCUGGGGGCAUCAUUGACAUAAAAGUAUGUUCACUCCAGGCUGUAACGCCAUUUCAUAGCCACUGAGUGAUCUUGGGAGGAUAUUUUAUGGGAGGCUGUGAGCAGUAACUACUGCUAUUCACAUUUUAAAGAAGAAACAGAAACACAGCGUUUAAAUUAUGGAGUGUAGAUCUCACAGAUGGAUAAAUAAAUCUCUGGAGACUGGUAUUGGAAGACACUGGGAAGGGAAUAGGAAGUUACAGAUCUUGGGAAGAGUUUUAUCCACAAUGAUCUGUGUCAUCAAAAAAAAAGGAAGGUCAAGUUCAAACCAC